AGAAUACUGAGAAACAGUUUGAGGAAGAAGUAGGAGGUAUCAUCAAUUAGUAAAAAGGUGAAGACAAGAUGUUGCAGACGCCCAGGAAAAAGGAGAAGGAAUUCAUAGGUGGAAUUCCCAAGCAUGAGGAAACCUGCCCAAGUACAGAAGGGAGCAGGAGGUGACAUGAGGAGGCAGACUGAUGCUGGGGGACUAGGACCAUGCACACUACGAGGAUCCCCACCUUCCCACAGAAGGCUAGAAGCGUGUGGCUAAUAUUUGGAUAUUAUCUUCAUGUUAUUGGGAAUGGAGUGUUUCAAAUAGGCUACCCCUGUAGCCUUGGUCCCAGGAUGCGAAAAAAAACUCCAUGGAGAGCAGAAGCAGAGCCUUCACUGAUGUGGUGUUGAAUCCGUAAUGGCAGAGUGAAGAACAUUGUUUGUAACAAGCAACUCAAGAAGUCAUGUGUGACUGUGGUAAAACUAAUAAAUCUGGGCAGUCACCCGUUGCCAAUGCACAAAAUCCAGGGAAAUCACAAGUCAUUGUUAUUUUAAGGUACUACAUUUUAGGGUCUUUGUAAGACAGUCAUAGAUAAC